rnacentral:rRNA from 1 species
UGCGCCUUGCCAGCCCGCUCAGGUGUGCCAGCGCCGCGGUAAUACGGAGGAUGCGAGCGUUAUCCGGAUUUACUGGGUGUAAAGGGCGUGUAGCGGGACUGCAAGUCAGAUGUGAAAACCAUGGGCUCAACCUGUGGCCUGCAUUGAAACUGUAGUUCUUGAGUACUGGAGAGGCAGACGGAAUUCCUAGUGUAGCGGUGGAAUGCGUAGAUAUAUGGAAGAACACCAGUGGCGAAGGCGGCUGUCUGGUCUGCAACUGACGCUGAGGCUCGAAAGCAUGGGUAGCGAACAGG